rnacentral:lncRNA from 1 species
UCUAAAUAGAGACAACAUCUUUAAAAGGCAUGGAGGGUCUGCACCUGGAGACUCCCACCUAAGAUGGGGGUUUAGAUGAGACCACUCUGGGAGGACACGCAGCCGAGUGUGGAGGCCCCGAGGAAGAUCAGCUCUGAAGACACAGGCAGGCAAAGGGCAGACCUCGAAGGAGAUGGAGGAGGAAUGACAGAGGGCAAGAAGAAUCAGGUAAUCUACCCAUGUCCACCCACAAAACAGAACGGACCUGUAAAACACUGCACUCCUACCUCAGCCUGGACUCAACAGCCCAGCCCGGCUCCUCCUCAUCCCUGCAUUCUUGGAACUGUGCUCAUGGUCCGAGCCGGCCUGCCGGCGAUCAGUCUUCCCCCUGACAAGCCUCACUGGAAAACUGUUUCUUUUUUUCCCCUUGAAAGGGUCUGUGUCAACUGCCUCUACAAAUGCCAGACUGUCGAUUCAUCAUCAUUACAGAGAAUGGAAGAUAAUCACUUCAAUGACAUCUUCAUCCUAAAAACGUUUCUUUCUUGUCUUUUUUUUUUUUUUUUAAAUCACAGAGUUGAUUAUUUUUCCCAAAUAAGAGAUGGGCAGGAAAGUGAUAUUUCAAAUCUCAAAAAACACAAGCCCUCUUGCUUCUAUUCCCCACCAUAAAUUCUUUUUGGCUCCAAGUGGUGGAGGAAAAGGAGGUGGCAGGCAGGGGUGGCUUGCAGCCACACUCCCGUGUUGUCAUUCUUCCCCAGCAGACCACCUCUGGGGCUGCCUCCUCCACAGAGGCCAAGCGUAUUGCAUGUCUGCCGCCUUGCCCCUCGAGAUUAAAAAUAUCAUGUCUGGUCUGAAAACACUUUCUCAAGGCUGUUCCUGAACACUACCUACCCACCCAGAUUAGAAGACUGCGUCUGUUAAUCUAAAACAUGUUUCUAGCAGAGGAGGAAGGAGUGCCUUCAUUACUCCCAGGAGCUGCUCCCAUCCUUCGGGAGGAAUUCAAUUUGGA